UACGUAGGCAGCAAGCGUUGUUCGGAAUUACUGGGCGUAAAGAGUGUGUAGGCGGUGUUCUAAGUUUGUCGUGAAAUCUCCCGGCUUAACUGGGAGGGUGCGGCGAAAACUGGAAUGCUAGAGGAUGGGAGAGGGCAGUGGAAUACCCGGUGGAGCGGCGAAAUGCGUAGAGAUCGGGUGGAACACCAGGGGCGAAGGCGGCUGCCUGGCCCUGACCUGACGCUGAGGCGCGAGAGCGUGGGGAGCAAACCGG
rnacentral:rRNA from 1 species